CAUUAUGGCCGUACCGCCCUGAACAUGCCUGACCCCGUUUGAUCUCAGAAGCUAAGCAGGGUCGGGCCUGGUUAGGACUUGGAAGGAUUUAGCCACUGAGCCAUCAUGC
rnacentral:rRNA from 1 species